UGUUGUGUAGCUUAGUUGGUUAAAGCGCCGGUCUAGCGUACACGGAGUCGUGAGUUCGAGUCUCACUAGAACGC
rnacentral:tRNA from 1 species